rnacentral:rRNA from 1 species
GAUUUCUGGUUUGUCACACUAGCCCAGAAAAAUUAGAGUGUUUAAAGCAGGCUUACGCUGUGAAUACAUUAGCAUGGAAUAAUAAUAUAGGACUUUGUUUCUAUUUUGUUGGUUUCUAGGAAUGAAGUAAUGAUUGAUAGGGAUAGUUGGGGGUGCUAGUAUUCAGCGGCCAGAGGUGAAAUUCUCGGAUUCGCUGAAGACUAACUUAUGCGAAAGCAUUCACCAAGGAUGUCUUCUUCUGUCUCUUAUACA